AGAAAAGUUACAUGUUAAAUAAAAAGUCCUGAUAAACCAUGUGAGAAUAGAGCAGGAGAAAGGAGCAGCAGGAAGCAGGAGCUCCACGAUCACAGGUGACACUUUGCCCUCGACUGACACUCUGUGUAAAUGU